GUGUAUAUGAUCGAUCAGAGAGGGCAAGGUGAAACCCUAGUUUCACCAAGUUCAUCAAAUUCAGUAGGAGUUUUAAGGAAAAUCGGAUGCAUGAACCCCAAUUUGCAAACAUCUAACCUUGUUCAGUAAAGUGGAUCAUGUUUAGAGGGGAAAGCAUGGAAGGCAAACGGAAAGGGAUGAGGAAGCAUGUACGAACGGGCACUCGAAGUAAUGCAGGAAUGAGAACGUAGAGUUCAUGAAGAUUGAAGUCGAACUUGGA
rnacentral:lncRNA from 1 species